GAUGAACGCUGGCGGCGUGCCUAAUACAUGCCAGUCGAACGAAACUUCUUUAUCACCGAGUGCUUGCACUCACCGAUAAAGAGUUGAGUGGCGAACGGGUGAGUAACACGUGGGCAACCUGCCCAAAAGAGGGGGAUAAAACUUGGAAACAGGUGCUAAUACCGCAUAACCAUAGUUACCGCAUGGUAACUAUGUAAAAGGUGGCUAUACUACCGCUUUUGGAUGGGCCCGCGGCGCAUUAGCUAGUUGGUAGGGUAAAGGCUUACCAAGGCAAUGAUGCGUAGCCGAAUUGAGAGGUUGAUCGGCCACAUUGGGACUGAGACACGGCCCAAACUCCUACGGGAGGCAGCAGUAGGGAAUCUUCCACAAUGGGCGAAAGCCUGAUGGAGCAACGCCGCGUGGGUGAAGAAGGUCUUCGGAUCGUAAAACCCUGUUGUUAGAGAAGAAAGUGCGUGAGAGUAACUGUUCACGUUUCGACGGUAUCUAACCAGAAAGCCACUGCUAACUACGUG
rnacentral:rRNA from 1 species